UAUUCAUAGUCACUGUACAAUAGAAUUUAACGUGAGAGUGAGGGAGAUAGAGAUAAGGGCUGGAGUAGAAUGGAAAGAAAGAAACAAACAGGAAGGAAACUAAAGAGAGAAAGUAAAGGACGUGAGGAAUAGGAGAUUAGGAGCAUGAAAGAAAAGAAGAAAACAAGAGAGAGAGAGAGAGAGAGAGAGAGAUCAAGAUAGAAUAGAGGAGAUUAGAGGAAAAGAAAGAAGAAACAGAAUUAGGAUUGGAAGAGAAAAUAGAAGAGAGAAACAUGAGACGUGAGAGAGAUACCUGAAGUGAAGGAAGGAGGAAUUAACAAGAGUAGUUUGAUUUAUAUUCUGAAUGAGAUUCAAAGGAACAUGUAUCUAUACAAUAGCUUGAAAUCCAGUCUUGCAGGUUAUUAAACACAAGAACUAUGAAGAUUAGUGAUCGAAAGCAAUUAGAGUUAGUUGGAGUUUUGUAUAUGUAAGAUCAUUAUUCCGGAAGUGAGUACUCUUAGUGAUCUUGAGUUGGAUUUAUCCUUAUACCGAAAUGAGAAGUCAAUUCCAUUAUCAAA